AGUUCGAUUCUGGCUCAGAUUGAACGCUGGCGGGAUGCUUUACACAUGCAAGUCGAACGGCGGCACGGACUUCGGUCUGGUGGCGAGUGGCGAACGGUGAGUAAUGUAUCGGAACGCCUGAAGAAGUGGGGAUAACUACGCGAAAGUGUAGCGCUAAUACCGCAUACGCCCUUCGGGGGAAAGCGGGGACCUUUCGCCCCUGCACUAUUAGAGCGGCCGAUAUCGGAUUAGCUAGUUGGUGGGGUAACGGCUCACCAAGGCGACGAUCCAGCCGGGUUUGAGGAUAGACCAACUGCGCCACCGGGACCAGACAUCGGCCCAGACUCCUACGGAGGCAGCAGGGAAUUUUGACAAUGGGGAAACCCCGGAUCCAGCCAUCCCGCGUGUGCGAUGAAGGCCUUCGGGUUGUAAAGCACUUUGGCAGGAGAAGAAACGGCACGGGAUAAUACCCCGCAACUGACGGUACCUGCAGAAUAAGCACCGGCUAACUACGCCAGCAGCCGCGGUAAUACAGGUGCAAGCGUUGGACCGGAAUUACUGGGCGCAAAGCGUGCGCAGGCGGUUCGGAAAGAAAGAUGAAACUCAGAGCUAACUUUGGGAACUGGUUUUUGGUUCACUUUGUUUGGAGUGUGUCAGAGGGAGGUGGAAUCGUAUGCGUAGCAGUGAAAUGCGUAGAUAUGCGGAGGAACACCGAUGGCGAAGGCAGCCUCCUGGGAUAACACUGACGCUCAUGCAACGAAAGCGUGGGGAGCAAACAGGAUUAGAUACCCUGGUAGUCCACGCCCUAAACGAUGUCAACUAGCUGUUGGGGCCUUCGGGCCUUGGUAGCGCAGCUAACGCGUGAAGUUGACCGCCUGGGGAGUACGGUCGCAAGAUUAAACUCAAAGGAAUUGAUUUGGACCCGCACGCAGCGGUGGAUGAUGCAGACGAAUUCGAUGCAACGCGAAAACCCAUCACCUUGACAUGUCUGGAAUCCCGGAAGAGAUUGGAGUGCUCAAAGAGAACCGGAACACAGGUGCUGCAUGGCUGAAACACGUCGGCUCGUGUCGUGAGAUGCGUUGGGUUAAGUCCCAACGAGCGCAACCCCGUCAUUAGUUGCUACGAAAGGGCACUCUAAUGAGACUGCCGGCGACAAACCCUGGAGGAAGGUGGAUGAUCGCCGUCCAAGUACCAUGGUGAAGCCACACGUCAUACAAUGGUCGGGACAGAGGGUCGCCAACCCGCGAGGGACGCCAAUCCCGGAAACCCGAUCGUAGUCCGAUCGCAGUCUGCAACUCGACUGCGCGGAAGUCGGAAAUCGCUAGUAAUCGCGGAUCAGCAUGUCGCGGUGAAUACGUUCCCGGGUCUUGUACACACCGCCCGUCACACCAUGGGGAGUGGGUUUUACCAGAAGUAAAGUUAGCCUAACUGCAAGGAGGGCGAUUACCACGGUAGAUCAUGACUGGGGUGAAGUCGUAACAAGGUAA
rnacentral:rRNA from 1 species